rnacentral:rRNA from 1 species
AGUGAACGCUGGCGGUAGGCCUAACACAUGCAAGUCGAACGGCAGCACAGUAAGAGCUUGCUCUUACGGGUGGCGAGUGGCGGACGGGUGAGGAAUACAUCGGAAUCUACUUUUUCGUGGGGGAUAACGUAGGGAAACUUACGCUAAUACCGCAUACGACCUACGGGUGAAAGCAGGGGAUCUUCGGACCUUGCGCGAUUGAAUGAGCCGAUGUCGGAUUAGCUAGUUGGCGGGGUAAAGGCCCACCAAGGCGACGAUCCGUAGCUGGUCUGAGAGGAUGAUAAGCCACACUGGAACUGAGACACGGUCCAGACUCCUAAGGGAGGCAGCAGUGGGGAAUAUUGGACAAUGGGCGCAAGCCUGAUCCAGCCAGACCGCGUGGGUGAAGAAGGCCUUCGGGUUGUAAAGCCCUUUUGUUGGGAAGGAAAAGCAGCAGGUUAAUACCCCGCUGUUCUGACGGUACCCAAAGAAUAAGCACCGGCUAACUUCGUG